rfam:Schizosaccharomyces japonicus yFS275 unplaced genomic scaffold supercont5.1, whole genome shotgun sequence.
UUACGCGUGGCGCAAUGGCAGCGCAUCUCAUUCCUAAGCGGUUCAGUAGCUACUCAGGAACUUCAUGAGAAGGUUGCGGGUUCGAGUCCCGUCGCGUAAG